rnacentral:rRNA from 1 species
AGAGUUUGAUCCUGGCUCAGAAUGAACGCUGGCGGCGUGGUUAAGACAUGCAAGUCGAACGGUGUUUCAGGUGUAGCAAUACAUUUGAAACGCAGUGGCGAACGGGUGCGUAACACGUGAACAAUCUACCAUUUAGUGUGGAAUAGCUCGACGAAAGUCGGAUUAAUACCGCAUGUGGUUGGCCCUCUCCUGAGGGCCAUACUAAAGUCAGGGACCGCAAGGCCUGACGCUAUUUGAGGAGUUCGCGGCCUAUCAGCUAGUUGGCGAGGUAACGGCUCA